rnacentral:rRNA from 1 species
UACGAAGGGGGCUAGCGUUGCUCGGAAUCACUGGGCGUAAAGCGCACGUAGGCGGAUCUUUUAAGUCAGGGGUGAAAUCCCAAGGCUCAACCUUGGAACUGCCUUUGAUACUGGGUAUCUCGAGUAUGGAAGAGGUGAGUGGAAUUCCGAGUGUAGAGGUGAAAUUCGUAGAUAUUCGGAGGAACACCAGUGGCGAAGGCGGCUCACUGGUCCAUUACUGACGCUGAGGUGCGAAAGCGUGGGGAGCAAACAGG